rnacentral:ribozyme from 13 species
GCGUUGAUUCAUUUCAUCACCAUCAUUCCAUUCCAUUCUUUCAUUCUUUCUUCGUUCUCUCAAUCUUGGACAAAAAAGUAAAAAGUAGCAUUCUCCAAAACUGACCAAUUCCAAUAUAAUAAUAAUAGAAGAUAGAAGAGACGAGCCAUUGUGACUCUUUCUGCGGUUUUGUGAUGGUUAUCAGUUCAUAGCGUGUGCGUCCGCGAAGCAAGAAGAAUUAAUAAUGGUCGA